rnacentral:rRNA from 1 species
UGUUCCACCCGAUCCCAUUCCGAACUCGGAAGUGAAAUACUCCAAGGCCGAUGAUAGUGGGUUUUUCCCGCGAAAGUAGGUAACUGCCACCA